rnacentral:rRNA from 1 species
UGGGGAAUCUUGGACAAUGGGCGCAAGCCUGAUGCAGCAACGCCGCGUGCGGGAAGAAGGCCCUAGGGUUGUAAACCGCUUUCAGCAGGGAAGAAACUGACGGUACCUGCAGAAGAAGGUGCGGCCAACUACGUGCCAGCAGCCGCGGUGACACGUAGGCACCAAGCGUUGUCCGGAUUUAUUGGGCGUAAAGAGCUCGUAGGCGGUUCAGUAAGUCGGGUGUGAAAACUCUGGGCUCAACCCAGAGACGCCACCCGAUACUGCUGUGACUCGAGUACGGUAGGGGAGCGGGGAAUUCCUGGUGUAGCGGUGAAAGUGCGCAGAUAUCAGGAGGAACACCAGUGGCGAAGGCGCCGCUCUGGGCCGUAACUGACGCUGAGGUGCGAAAGUGUGGGGAGCAAAACAGGAUUAGAUACCCUGGUAGUCCACACCGUAAACGAUGAAUGCCAGUCGUCGGGUAGCAUGCUAUUCGGUGACACACCUAACGGAUUAAGCAUUCCGCCUGGGAGUACGGUCGCAAGAUUAAAAGCUCAAA